rnacentral:lncRNA from 1 species
CAACAGUCUCUUUCGGCCCACCAAUGAGUAUUGCUCUUCCCUAGGUAGGAAAAAUCCAAGAGUUUCAUAACAAAGCUAUAAAAUAUUUGGGCUGACAAAGUGUUUUAACAUUAGGAUGAGUGAUAGGUAGAGAAAAAUCCAGCCAUUUAAUUAACAAUCGAAGCUGAUACUGAGAUUUGAAAGCAAAACACAUCCUGUGUUUCACAGUAACGACAAGCAAUGCUGAAGACAUACUAUGCGCUAUCUACCCAGUAGGUCACAUACUACUGGGCUUGUGAAACUAAGGGUUACUUAACUAUGAAGGGGGGUGGUUGGCAACGGUAAAAGACUUCUGCUGGUGCAACAGCCAAAACAGAACCCAAAGUCAAGUGAACGAUGAGCCUGAGGUGUUCCCAGUGCUCAGUCAAGCUGCACUGCACAACUUCACUGCCGCUGUGCCUCUGAGCACAAGUAUGCACAAGUGGAAGCACAAUGAUUCAAUGAUAACCACAAGCGCGAAAUAUUUACUAUUGCCCUUCUUCAUCUGGGUACCUAUGGGAGCCAGAGCAUCGGAUUCUACAGAUCUGGAGUAACAAGACUGUUGUGAUCAGAUUGUCCCCUGAUCUCUACCUGCACACAUACAUGUUCCCCACAUGCACACAAAAUAAGUUAAUAAGUUGGGGCAGGGAACCCAUAAAAUGUAAUAAAAAAUUG